UGCCGCCUACGGGAGGCAGCAGUGGGGAAUAUUGCACAAUGGGCGAAAGCCUGAUGCAGCAACGCCGCGUGAAGGAAGAAGGGUUUCGGCUCGUAAACUUCUAUCAACGGGGACGAAAGAAAUGACGGUACCUGAAUAAGAAGCCCCGGCUAACUACGUGCCAGCAGCCGCGGUAAUACGUAGGGGGCAAGCGUUAUCCGGAAUUACUGGGUGUAAAGGGUGAGUAGGCGGCAUGGGAAGCCAGA
rnacentral:rRNA from 1 species